GCAUCAACUUUUACGUGCAUUAUUUUUCGGCUGACCCAUGUACAACAAACACGCUCGAUCCUUUCACCAUUGAUUUUGGGAGGAUCAUUCGCGUGCUCUUUUCAUUUUUAUCUCAACAGAAAAAAAGCGUACAAGAAGUAGUAGAGAAACCAAGAAAUCGAGGAGAAACUCGUCUGCAGAGCACAAACAUGUCUCGACGACGAGGCAACAACUGGGGCUAGUGCCCAACGCCAGGGCUCGGCACCGAGCGCAUCAACCGCGCGGCCCUGCCGCCCGCCGAGAACCCCCUCGGCGCCACCGCCGGCGGCUCCUCCACGACCACGCUGCCGCCGCUGUUGCCGGUGAUGGGUGACGCCGGUGGCACUCUGAGCACCAGGUCGCCCUCGACGUGCAUCACCUUCUUGCCGCCUUCCUCGUCGGCCGGCAGCAGCUUGCGGCCUUCGCAUGGCGAACAACGAGAUAGGAGAAGGCACAGGGCAAGGCACGCUGACACGAGACGCAAGGAAGCUUUGCCGCUAGUGCCGUCGCGUGAACCCAUUGGAAGCUGCGCGGAAGACGUGGAUUGGUGGUGUUGCUUGCUGUGCUCUGGUCGGAGGAGGGCGCCUGGCCUUGGCUCGGCUUGCCUAGUCGGCUACCAGAGCUUGUUUUCAGACAGACUCUGAUGGAC
rnacentral:lncRNA from 1 species